UUGUAGUUUGUGGUCUCUAUUUUAUGUGUCAAAAAUCAGCAAAAUGGCUGAGCAAUUAAACUAAUUAAUUAGAAAGCGAGCUUAUCUCAAUUUAAAAGGUAUUUAACAAAUUUCAAUGUGCAAAGUGAAAGAUCUUCAGAAAAAGAAGUGUGAAGAUUUAGACAGCCAAUUUAAUGAGAGGGAAGUUUUCCAAACAGAAUUCUACCAUAUUGUCGCAAAGGCAAAAAAUAUUUUGGGUGAUUUUAAUGAUACGAACAACAAAAAUGGGUGUUUGCAAAAAAUUACGCAUUCGGAUUCCAACUCUGUCAUUUUUCAGGAAAAUUUACGGCCAAAUUCGAAUGAAACGAUGGGUGUACGAUUACCUUUAAUAAAUUUACCAACGUUUGCUGGAAACUACUCAAAGUGGUUGGAAUUUAGAGACACGUUUGAUAGUUUAAUUCACAAGAAUAAGUCGAUUGGCGACAUUCAAAAGUUUCACUAUUUGCGUGCAUCACUUGAGACCUUGGAAAACAAUUCCCGGACAAAAUUGAAGGAAAAUUUUAUCGGGCAAAAACAAAGGGUUUUUGUAGCUGGGGUUGAAAAAAGCAAGUGUGUUAUUUGUAAAAGCGGUCAUGACAUCAGUGAGUGUAAGAAAUUUUUGGAGUUAACAACCAGCCAGAGAAUUGCGCAAAUAAAACGAAAUAAAUUAUGUAUGUGUUGUUUUUCGAACAAGCAUUUUAGUUUUAAUUGUCAAGGGAAAAAAUGUUCGCCGUGUGGUUUAGGGCAUGAUGUUCUAUUACAUUUUUAUAACCAACGCCAAACUGAACAGGUCAGUGUUGAAAGUGCCCCAAUUGCUGACGUACAAAAGGCUGUAGAAGCGUCUUCAAAGGAAGGAAGUAAAACCUCUGUGGUGCUAUCGAGUAGAAAUUGUGGGACUCAAGGUCAGGUGUUACUUUCUACAACGAUUGUCAAAUUAAAAGAUGUGAGUGGAAAUUUGCAUCAUCGCAAGGUUUUGUUAGAUUCAGCUUCAAUGAGCAAUUUUAUCACUGAAAAAAUGUGUGACAAACUUCAGUUAAAAACAAAAGAUGCGAAUGUGUGUGUGGUUGGGAUUGGUCAAAACACUGAAAAGAUUUCGAAACGGUGUAAAGUAGAAAUCAGUUCUCAGAAAGGUGAUUUCCUAAUUCCUAUCAGUUGUUUAAUCAUUCUGAAAAUUAGUGAUGAGAUUCCUUUGUGUGAAAUUGAGUUAGGACCAAUAAACAUUCCAGGAAAUAUUUGUCUAGCAAACAGUGAAUUUCAUUUGCCUGAUGAAGUGGAUAUGUUAAUUGGUGCAGGUGUGUUCUGGAAACUUAUAACUCAUAACAAACCUUUCUUACAAAACACUUGGUUAGGAUGGGUAGUAGCGGGGUACAUCAGUGGACAAGGAUCUCGAGUCAAACCUAAGAAAACGGUGUGCAACCUAAGUAUUGGUACAGAGGUACAAGACCAAAUGGCCAAGUUUUGGGAACUAGAAGAGCCAGGUGGAGGUCAAAUCGAGGGAAUGACACGGGAUGAAGUUGAUUGUGAAAAUUUCUUUGUGUCAACAAAAAGACGUGAUCAGGAUGGUCGAUUUGUUGUUGCAAUCCCAUUGAAAAUGUAUGACGGCUCUGCACAAUCAGACUCGGGUGUGUCACGUAACGAUUUGCAAUUUUUGGGGCCAAGAAUUCAAGAGGAUAUUAUUUCAAUUUUGUUGAGGUUUAGACAACAUGAAGUGGCAUUCUGCGCAAAUAUCGCCAAAAUGUACCGACAAGUAUGGGUUAGGGAAGAUCAACGCCAUCUACAAAGGAUACUGUGGAGAGAAAAUCCAGCAGAAGAAGUCAAGGUCUACAAUUUAAACACGGUGACGUUUGGAUUAACCUCAAGUCCAUUUUUAGCGGUAAGGUGUUUGCAGGAACUGACUAAAAAUUGCGAACAAACACAGAUUUCAAAGGUAAUUGGCAAGGACUUCUACGUUGAUAAUUUGAUAUCAGGGGCCUCCUCGAUUCAAGAGGCACUUCAGAUAUGUAAGGGUGUUUGUGAGGUUUUAAAAUCUGGUGGGUUUGAGCUCAGAAAGUUCAGUUCGAACAAGGAGGAGUUCUUGGAACAAUUUGGAGUAAGGCCCAAGGCAGAAUUAUAAACUCUUAAUCUAGGAGAGCAUCAACACAAAACUUUGGGAUUGUAUUGGGACUAUCAGGCAGAUAUCUUUACCUACAGGGUGACGGAAUUUUCAAGUAAUUCAAGUACCACAAAACGGAAGAUUCUGUCAGAAAUUGCCCAGCUGUUCGAUCCACUUGGGUUAGUUAGCCCAUGUGUCGUCAUUCCCAAGAUUAUUUUACAAUGAUUGUGGAUUCUCAAGUUGGAUUGGGACGAUGAAGUACCGAACAAUAUUGCCCAAGAGUGGGAACAAUUUAAGCAAGAAAUGGUGAAAUUAAACAUGCAAGACAUGUAGGUAGCAACAAUUCAGAGAACAUCGAACUUCAUGGAUUUUGUGAUGCUGCACAAGAAGCGUUUGGAGCAUGUAUCUAUGUCAGAAAUGUCAAGAAGGAUGGAAGUGUAGUCGUUCGCUUAUUGUGUGCAAAAAGUAAAGUUGCCCGGAUAAAGGCACUAACUAUACCGAAAUUGGAAUUGUCGGGUGCAUUAUUACUUUCAAGGUUGAUAAAAGAAGUACAAACUUCCAUGACGUUAAAUUUCAGGAAACUGUUUUUGUGGAGCGAUUCUACAGUAACAUUAAGUUGGAUAAAAUCACCAGCAAAUCAAAUCCAAGCUUUUGUCGCAAAUAGAGUAUCGCAAAUUCAGUCUAUGACGGAUCAAGACAAUUGGCAUUAUGUGCGGUCAGAAGAAAACCCCGCAGACUUAGUAUCCCGGGAACUUUUUCCUUCCAAAUUGUGUGGAAAUAAAUUAUGGUUUGAAGGUCCACAAUGGUUGCCACAAGAUUUCUUUCCAAAUCAGGCUGUAGAUGUCCCUUUAGAGGAACUUCCAGAAAGGAGGAAGCGAGUAAAAGCCUUUUUGAAUUCAGAGAAGAGUAUUUUAGAGAUUUUUUCCAGAUAUUCCAGUUGGACAAAAUUGAAACGUGUAUUUGCAUAUUGCUUAAGGUUUACAGCACGUUGCAGAAAAUUGGAUAGUCCCGAAUCAAAGAAUUUGACAGAGAAAGGAAUGUUAAUAAAGUUAUCACAAGAUGAAUGUUUCGUAAAUGAGAAGAAAAUCUUGGAGACCGGUGAGAAGAUAAAAAAGGGUUGCUUGUCAAAUUUAAAUCCGUUUCUAGAUGCCGACGGAUUAAUCAGAGUAGCCGGAAGACUAGCGCUUUCAGAAUUUAAAUUUGACAAAAAAUUCCCAAUUGUGUUAGACCCAAAACAUCCAUGUCCAAAAUUGAUUGUUAAGGCAGAGCAUUUGAGACUACUGCAUGCAGGCCCUCAAUUAGUUCUCAGUUCAUUAAGGGAAAAUUAUUGGCCACUAAAGGGCAGAAAUGUUGUGAGAAGGGUGGUGCAUGAAUGUGUUGUGUGUUCGAAGGUUCAACCUAGGUCCUUUGAAAUACAGCUGGGAGAUCUACCUAAGUCACGAGUGAUCCCACAAUUUCCAUUCAAUACCACAGGGGUUGAUUAUUCAGGGCCGUUCAAUUUUAAAAUAGCUCUGGGACGGGGCACGCGUUUGUACAAGGGGUAUGUUGGUUUAUUUAUUUGUUUUUGCACACGUGCAAUACAUUUAGAGGCUGUAACAAGUCUGUCUACGCAACCAUUUGUUGCAACUUUCAGGAGAUUCGUGUCUAGGAGGGGCAAACCAGAAAAAAUGUUGUCAGACAAAAUUUUUGCGUAAUAAUCAUGUCAUUUUAAAGACAUUGAUUGCGACAGAAGGUGUUAAUUGGUCUUUUAUUCAGGCAUAUUCGCCUCAUUUCGGGGGUUUAUGGGAGUCAGGGGUAAAAAGUGUUAAAUACCAUUUAAAAAGAGCUGUGGGCAAGGCAAAUUUGACAUAUGAGGACUUUUCCACUUGUUGUGUCAAAUAGAGGCCAUUUUAAAAUCACGUCCUCUCACUCCAAUGUCAUCUGAUCCUUCUGACUUGGACGUUUUAACCCCAUCCCAUUUCCUGAUCGGAAGAAGGGCAACCUCAUUACCGGACCCACGAUUGCUCGAGCAACCUGAAAAUAGGCUUGCUAGCUAUCAACAUAUUCAACAAUACCAUCAAGAUUUUUGGUCUUGUUGGUCACAGGAAUACAUCGCUGAACUUCAGAGGUGCGUCAGAUGGAAGGCUGGCGGGGACACUCUGCUGGAAGGGACAUUGGUGAUCGUGAAAGAAGAAAAUGUGCUUCCCUUGUGUUGGAAAAUGGGACGCAUCGUUCAGUUAUACCCAGGAAAGGACAACAUUAGUCGAGUGGCUGAUGUAAAAACGAGUGAAGGUGUCAUCAAACGUUCAUUCGCAAAAUUGUGUCCAUUGUUUCACGAAAGUGGGUGAAAAAAAAAACUCAGUUCAAGUGGUUUCAAAGGUUGUCUAAGACAAAUUGAUUUUCAAAAAAUGUUUGUUUUGUUGUUUUUUUAGAAAGAGGGUUCUUUCAAGGCUGGGGGUAUGUUGACUUCAAAAUUAUGUAAAUUGCUUUUUAAUUUUGUUUAUCUUAAACAUGCCGGACAUUUCAACAACAGGGCGUUGCACGCCAAACCGGCAAGGUCUACGUUUUUGCUAGACCAGUAACAAUUUUGAAGCGUUACAGGGGAGACGUUCACGGCAUUGAUCGCGACGUCGCCGCAAAGUGAGAUAUAGUCCAUUUAUAGAAAACGAAAAUUCAAUAAAUAUUAAAUGAUUGAGGAAACGCUUGUAUUAUUGAAAAAACUCUGUUCAGAGUAAGAGACAUUCUCAUAGAC